rnacentral:misc_RNA from 1 species
AGUCGUCAACUGCCCUUGGGGGGUGAAGUUGGAUUUUGGAGUGUUUUGCUAGGCUUUUGUUUCUGGCUGCUCCUAAAAGCAUUCCGAGGCUUCAGAUCUUGGUGUUAAGUAUCCUUGACGUGAUAAUGAUCUACGUCGCGGAGAAAGCCUUGAGAAAGGAGCUCGUAAUAAGAAAAUUGAUUGAUCCUU